UACGUAGGGUGCGAGCGUUGUCCGGAAUUAUUGGGCGUAAAGAGCUUGUAGGCGGUUUGUCGCGUCUGCCGUGAAAAUCCGGGGCUCAACCCCGGACUUGCGGUGGGUACGGGCAGACUAGAGUGUGGUAGGGGAGACUGGAAUUCCUGGUGUAGCGGUGAAAUGCGCAGAUAUCAGGAGGAACACCAACGGCGAAGGCAGCACUCUGGGCCGGUACUGACGCUGAGGCGCGAAAGCUAGGGGAGCGAACAGG
rnacentral:rRNA from 1 species